rnacentral:rRNA from 1 species
UUGAAAGGGAAACGAUUGAAGUCAGUCGUACCGACGAGAAAUCAGCUUUUCGAAUGUGCAUUUGUGGGCGUAUGAGAUCUUCAUUGUUUGCAAUAUGUAUAUUUCUUUGGUGUACUUUUUCGUAUGGUAGGUCAACGUCGGUUUUGGUCGCCAUAAAAUGAUCGGAGGAAUGUAGCUUCGACCUCGGUUGAAGUGUUAUAGCCUUUGGUAAAUGUGGUGAUUAAGACCGAGGAUUGCAACGAAUACCUUUUAGGCUAUCCGUCUGACCUCUGAAAGUUACUUAGGUGCCGAAAGCUUGCUUACGGUCAUUUAAGUUGACGGUCAAUAGGUUAGAACGCGAUUACAUUCGUUAAGGAUGUUGACGUA